rnacentral:rRNA from 1 species
AGAGUUUGAUCCUGGCUCAGGAUUAACGCUAGCAGGAUGCCUAACACAUGCAAGUCGAACGAGGUAGCAAUACCUAGUGGCAAACGGGUGAGUAAUAUAUGCUCAAUCUACCCAUAAGAGGGGGAUAACAGCUCGAAAGAGUUGCUAAUACCCCAUAACAUGUAGAAACAUAAGUUUUUACAUCUAAAGUUGCGUUUGCAACACUUUUGGAUGAGGGUGUAUCUUAUCAGAUAGUUGGUGAGGUAACGGCCCACCAAGUCGAUGACGAGUAGCUGUGCUGAGAGGCGGAACAGCCACAAUGGGACUGAGACACGGUCCAUACUCCUACGGGGGGCAGCAGUGGGGAAUUUUUCACAAUGGGGGAAACCCUGAUGGAGCAAUCCUGCGUGGAUGAUGAAGGCCCUCUGGGUCGUAAAAUCCUUUUAUAAGGGACGAAAGCAGUAACUAGGAAAUGAGUUAUUGUUGACUGUACCUUUUGAAUAAGUAACGGCUAACUAUGUGCCAGCAGCCGCGGUAAUACAUAGGUUACAAGCGUUAUCCGGAUUUACUGGGCGUAAAGCGAGCGCAGAUGGACUUACAAGUCUGGUGUUAAAGACUAAGGCUUAACCUUAGCAUGCAUUGGAAACUGUAAGUCUAGAGUUUGAUAGGAAGUUUUAGAACUCCAUGUGGAGCGGUGGAAUGCGCAGAUAUAUGGAAGAAUACCGGUGGUGAAAACGAAAACUUAGGUCACAACUGACAUUUAGGCUCGAAAGUGUGGGGAGCAAAUAGGAUUAGAUACCCUAGUAGUCCACACCGUAAACGAUGGUUGUUAGACGUUGGUGCUUAAGCACUAGUGUCGUAGUUAACGCGAUAAACAACCCGCCUGGGUAGUACAUUCGCAAGAAUGAAACUCAAACGGAAUUGACGGGGACCCGCACAAGUGGUGGAGCAUGUUGCUUAAUUCGACAAUACACGUAAAACCUUACCUGGGCUUGACAUCCUCAGCAAAGUCAUAGAGAUAUGAUGGAGGUUAACUGAGAGACAGGUGGUGCAUGGUUGUCGUCAGCUCGUGUCGUGAGAUGUUGGGUUAAGUCCCGCAACGAGCGCAACCCUUACCUUUAGUUGCUACGCAAGAGCACUCUAAAGGGACUGCCGUUGACAAAACGGAGGAAGGUGGGGAUGACGUCAAAUCAUCAUGCCCCUUAUGACCUGGGCUACACACGUACUACAAUGGCAAUUAACAAAGAGGAGCGAAGCGGUGACGUGGAGCAAAUCUCCAAAAAUUGUCCCAGUUCGGAUUGCAGGCUGCAACUCGCCUGCAUGAAGUCGGAAUUGCUAGUAAUCGCGGAUCAGCAUGCCGCGGUGAAUACGUUCCCGGGCCUUGCACACACCGCCCGUCA